rnacentral:rRNA from 1 species
AUUGAACGCUGGCGGCAGGCCUAACACAUGCAAGUCGAGCGAGCGGCGGACGGGUGAGUAAUGUAUGGGGACUGCCCGAUAGAGGGGGAUAACUACUGGAAACGGUAGCUAAUACCGCAUACUAUCGGAUAACCCAUAUUGGAUUAGUUAGUAGGUGAGGUAAUGGCCUACCUAGGCGACGAUCCCUAGCUGGUCUGAGAGGAUGAUCAGCAACACGGGGACUGAGACACGGCCCAGACUCCUACGGAGGCAGCAGUGGGGAAUAUUGCACAAUGGGCGCAAGCCUAAUGCAGCCAUGCCGCGUGUAGGAAGAAGGCCAUAGGGUUGUAAAGUACGUUCAGUCGGGAGGCGUUACCGACAGAAGAAGCACCGGCUAACUACGUGCCAGCCGCCGCGGUAAUAC